rnacentral:sRNA from 1 species
CGGCGCUGCCCUCCGGGCGUUUCCUCCCUGACUUGGCCCGCCCGGUUCGCCGAUGGCGGGGCCUUUUUGCGUUUCAGG